UAGGCAGAAGCCAAUAGGUUAGGGCGUCUAGCUGUUAAUUAGAAUAAUAUGGGAUCGAAACCCAUCUGCCUAG
rnacentral:tRNA from 1 species